GCAGGGGUGGCUCAAUGGUUAAGGCACUGAGUUGCUGACUAGAAGGUUGGGGGUUCAAGCCCCCCUGUUGGG